GCCCCGAUAGCUCAGCUGGAUAGAGCGCCGAACUUCUAAUUCGGAUGUCGCAGGUUCGACUCCUGCUCGGGGCGCCA
rnacentral:tRNA from 1 species